rnacentral:rRNA from 1 species
UACGUAGGCAGCGAGCGUUGUUCGGAGUUACUGGGCGUAAAGAGUGCGUAGGCGGUUUUCUAAGUUUGGUGUGAAAUCUCCCGGCUUAACUGGGAGGGUGCGCCGAAGACUGGAAGGCUUGAGUAUGGGAGAGGUAAGCGGAAUUCCUGGUGUAGCGGUGAAAUGCGUAGAUAUCAGGAGGAACACCUGCGGUGUAGACGGCUUACUGGACCAUAACUGACGCUGAGGCACGAAAGCGUGGGGGAGCGAACAGG